AACGAACGCUGGCGGCAGGCCUAACACAUGCAAGUCGAGCGCCCUUUCGGGGGAGCGGCGGACGGGUGAGUAACGCGUGGGAAUAUGCCCUUCUCUACGGAAUAGCCUCGGGAAACUGAGAGUAAUACCGUAUACGCCCUUUGGGGGAAAGAUUUAUCGGGGAAGGAUUAGCCCGCGUUGGAUUAGGUAGUUGGUGGGGUAAUGGCCUACCAAGCCGACGAUCCAUAGCUGGUUUGAGAGGAUGAUCAGCCACACUGGGACUGAGACACGGCCCAGACUCCUACGGGAGGCAGCAGUGGGGAAUCUUAGACAAUGGGGGCAACCCUGAUCGAGCCAUGCCGUGUGAGUGAUGAAGGCCUUAGGGUUGUAAAGCUCUUUCAGCUGGGAAGAUAAUGACGGUACCAGCAGAAGAAGCCCCGGCUAACUCCGUG
rnacentral:rRNA from 1 species